rnacentral:rRNA from 1 species
UAUUGGACAAUGGGGGCAACCCUGAUCCAGCAAUGCCGCGUGUGUGAAGAAGGCCUGAGGGUUGUAAAGCACUUUCAGUGGGGAGGAGGUCUUGUUGGUUAAGAGCUAGUGAGAUGGACGUUACCCACAGAAGAAGCACCGGCUAACUCCGUGCCAGCAGCCGCGGUAAUACGGAGGGUGCAAGCGUUAAUCGGAAUUACUGGGCGUAAAGGGUGCGUAGGUCGUUGAAUAAGUUAUCUGUGAAAUCCCCGGGCUUAACCUGGGCAGGUCAGAUAAGACUGUUUGACUCGAGUAUGGGAGAGGGUAGUGGAAUUUCCGGUGUAGCGGUGAAAUGCGUAGUGAUCGGAAGGAACACCAGUGGCGAAGGCGGCUACCUGGCCUGUUACUGACACUGAAGCACGAAA